rnacentral:rRNA from 1 species
CCUACGGGAGGCUGCAGUGGGGAAUAUUGGGCAAUGGGCGCAAGCCUGACCCAGCAACGCCGCGUGAAGGAAGAAGGCUUUCGGAUUGUAAACUUCUUUUGUCAGGGACGAAGAUAGUGACGUUUCCUGAGUAAUCAGCCACGGCUACCUUCGUGCCAGCCGCCGCGGUACGGCGUAGGUGGCAGGCGUUAGCCGGAAUUAUUGGGGGUAAAGGCCGAGUAGGCGGGAGCGCAAGUCAGAUGUGAACUCUCAGGGCUCAACACUGCGCCUGCAUUUGAAACUGUGUUUCUUGAGUGCGGGAGAGGCAAGUGGAAUUCCGGGUGUAGCGGUGAAAUGCGUAGAGAUACGGAGGAACACUAGUGGCGAAGGCGGAUUGCUGGACAGUAACUGACGCUGAGGCGCGAAAGCGUGGGGAGCAAACAGGAUUAGAUACCCCUGUAGUC